rnacentral:rRNA from 1 species
UACGUAGGGUGCGAGCGUUAAUCGGAAUUACUGGGCGUAAAGCGUGCGCAGGCGGUGAUGUAAGACAGAUGUGAAAUCCCCGGGCUCAACCUGGGAACUGCAUUUGUGACUGCAUCGCUGGAGUGCGGCAGAGGGGGAUGGAAUUCCGCAUGUAGCAGUGAAAUGCGUAGAUAUGCGGAGGAACACCGAUGGCGAAGGCAAUCCCCUGGGCCUGCACUGACGCUCAUGCACGAAAGCGUGGGGAGCAAACAGG